CACGUAGGGCGCGAGCGUUGUCCGGAAUUAUUGGGCGUAAAGAGCUCGUAGGCGGCCUGUUGCGUCCGCUGUGAAAGCCCGGGGCUUAACCCCGGGUCGGCAGUGGAUACGGGCAGGCUAGAGGUAGGUAGGGGAGAAUGGAAUUCCCGGUGUAGCGGUGAAAUGCGCAGAUAUCGGGAGGAACACCGGUGGCGAAAGCGGUUCUCUGGGCCUUACCUGACGCUGAGGAGCGAAAGCGUGGGGAGCGAACAGG
rnacentral:rRNA from 1 species